UUGUACAGCUAUCACUCUUUUGGCAGUUGACUAGAUUCUAUCAUUUCUUCUUUUGCAGCUUGCUUGGACCUGCUACAACUUCUAUCAUCAGUCAACACCAACAAAAUUGGCCAGGGAGAAUUAUUUCUUUCAUUCUGGGCAGCUUGCUUGGAACUGCUGCAACUUCAUCAGUCAACACCAACAAAAUUGGCCAGGGAGAAUUAUUUCUUUCAUUCUGGGCAGGCUUUUCCACUGGAUUUAGUGCUCUUUUCCAGUUGAGGACAACUUAAGGUGUGUCCCUCAUUGAAGAUUUUUAAAAAAUUUUAAUCCAACUUUAGAUGGAACGGAAUUGGGUAAAGCUUAGGAAUAGAGCUCUUCCUGAGCAUAGACAAGGAAUUAAAGACUUCCUUGAUUUUGCAUUUGAACAUACAACAAUGGGGGAUAAAAUUUAUUGUCCAUGUAAGAAAUGCAAGAACUACUUUGCAAAGACCAAAGAUGAUGUUGAGGUUGAUUUGCUUACUACUCGUAUUCUCCCAAGUUAUUUUCAUUGGUUUAGAUAUGGUGAGGAGAGACAUUUUCAAACAUGUGAUAGUUUGGAUUGUGAUGAUAAGUCAGACGGGGAUGGCUUGAGUGAGAUGGUAGAAGAUUAUUGUGCAGCCUUUAACGCAGCCAGUUGUGUAGCUGGAGAUUCGAGUGGCAAUGGUACUCCUGAAGAGCCUAAUGAUGAUGCAGCUAACUUUUUUCUGAAACUAGGAGAUAACGAGCAAAAACUUUUUCAAGAUUGCAAGUAUACAAAGCUAUCUUUCAUUGUGAAGUUACUUCAUAUUAAAUGCCUUAGUGGUUGGACAAACAAAUCAUUUACUCUAUUGCUUCAAUUGUUGAAUGAUGCGCUUUCUAAAGUUAUUGUAGAGUUGCCAAAUUCAUUAUAUGAGGCAAAGAAGAUGAUUCGGGAUUUGGGUCUUGAUUAUGUGAAGAUAGAUGCUUGUGAAAAUAAUUGUAUGUUGUAUUGGAAGGAAAAUUCCAACAGAGUUGAGUGUCAAGUUUGUGGCAUCUCAAGAUGGAAAUCAAGUGAAGGGAGUGUAAGGGGUAAAAAAGUCCCUCACAAGGUAUUGCGUUAUUUCCCAAUAAUGCCAAGGCUCAAGAGGUUUUUCUUGUCAAAAAAGACAGCUUCCUACAUGACUUGGCAUCAUGAUAAACGUGUUGAUGAUGUCUACAUCCAGCUGACUCUAAGGCAUGGAAAAAUUUUGAUGAGAUACACAAGUCAUUUUCUUUUGAGAAGGGCAAUGUUAGGCUGGGUUUAGAAAGUGAUGGGUUUAAUCCAUAUGGAAACAUGAGCACCAGUCAUAGCACAUGGCCUGUUGUCCUUGUUUCGUAUAAUUUACCACUAUGGAUGUGUAUGAAGCAAUCUUAUUUUAUGCUAGCAUUGCUCAUUCCAAGACCAAAAGACAAAGAAGUUUUGCUCCUGCAUACAAAAGUUGACCUUGUAGUAACUCUUGGUGGGGAUGGAACGGUCCUUUGGAAACUUGAGGGCACCCAUAAUGGCUAAAAUGUUCAAUUGUACUAGCUAAUAACUUCUUGCUUUGAAGAUGAUGAUGAAGAAUAAAAUGUAUCAAAACUUUUAACACUUGGACAGAUUUGGUCAUUGUACAAAGUGUGGUUGUUGCUAUCUUUUCUCUUAAACAAUAAUUGACAUAUCGGCAGUUUGUAUGCGGCCCCUAAUCUGUUAAUUUGUAAGUUUGAGUUUAGAGAUCAAAGAAAGUGUAAUUGUA